rnacentral:lncRNA from 1 species
GUGCCUUCCACCAAGAGUACGGACUGUGAGCAGAAGUACAAAAAUGGAAGCUUAAAGCUGGAACAAAUCAGACAAUAGCAGCUGCAUGCAGAUGAGCGGCCACAGCCUUUGAAAACAUGAGAAACAAGGAGGCCGUGCAGGGACAAUGUCCAAUGGAAAGACCAUUUAUCAGAAAAUAAGCUUGUAUGCUGCAGUUGUACAUCUGGUAAUUGACUAGCAGUGACUGAGAGUUUUCUGCAUAAGCUUGUAUUUCAUUGUGUAACAGAAGGUCACUGUGGCUGCAUAACAGCUGUACUUGAAGUUCUUGUGCUAUACUGCGCCAUCAUGAAAGACAAGCAUUACUCUCUGUAUUUGGCUUUUUAAGGUACGUUUGAGUCAAUAACAGCUUCAUAGUCCAGCUGGAACUAGAGCACAGAGCAAAGAAUAGAGAGAGAAGCAUGUGCUGGGGAGGGAGGGAUCCUGC